rnacentral:rRNA from 1 species
AUUGAACGCUGGCGGCACGCCUUACACAUGCAAGUCGAACGGUAACAGGUCUUCGGAUGCUGACGAGUGGCGAACGGGUGAGUAAUACAUCGGAACGUGCCUAGUAGUGGGGGAUAACUACUCGAAAGAGUGGCUAAUACCGCAUGAGAUCUACGGAUAAAAGCAGGGGAUCGCAAGACCUUGUGCUACUAGAGCGGCCGAUGGCAGAUUAGGUAGUUGGUGGGAUAAAAGCUUACCAAGCCGACGAUCUGUAGCUGGUCUGAGAGGACGAUCAGCCACACUGGGACUGAGAAACGGCCCAGACUCCUACGGGAGGCAGCAGUGGGGAAUUUUGGACAAUGGGCGCAAGCCUGAUCCUGCAAUGCCGCGUGCAGGAUGAAGGCCUUCGGGUUGUAAACUGCUUUUGUACGGAACGAGAAGCCCCGGGUUAAUACCCUGGGGUCAUGACGGUACCGUAAGAAUAAGCACCGGCUAACUACGUGCCAGCAGCCGCGGUAA